rnacentral:rRNA from 1 species
GAUGAACGCUGGCGGCGUGCCUAAUACAUGCAAGUCGAGCGAACAGACGAGGAGCUUGCUCCUCUGACGUUAGCGGCGGACGGGUGAGUAACACGUGGAUAACCUACCUAUAAGACUGGGAUAACUUCGGGAAACCGGAGCUAAUACCGGAUAAUAUAUUGAACCGCAUGGUUCAAUAGUGAAAGACGGUUUUGCUGUUGCUUAUAGAUGGACCCGCGCCGCAUUAGCUAGUUGGUAAGGUAACGGCUUACCAAGGCAACGAUGCGUAGCCGACCUGAGAGGGUGAGCGGCCACACUGGAACUGAGACACGGUCCAGACUCCUACGGGAGGCAGCAGUAGGGAAUCUUCCGCAAUGGGCGAAAGCCUGACGGAGCAACGCCGCGUGAGUGAUGAAGGUCUUCGGAUCGUAAAACUCUGUUAUUAGGGAAGAACAAAUGUGUAAGUAACUAUGCACGUCUUGACGGUACCUAAUCAGAAAGCCACGGCUAACUACGUG